ACGAACGCUGGCGGCGUGCUUAACACAUUCAAGUCGAACGGAAAGGCCCUGCUUUUGUUGGGUGCUCGAGUGGCGAACGGGGGAGUAACACGUGAGUUACCUGCCCUUUACUUUUGGAUAACUUCAGGAAACUGGGGCUAAUACCGGAAAGGAGCUCCUGCUGCAUUGGGGGGGUUGGAAAGUUUCGGCGGUUGGGGAUGGACUCGCGGCUUUUCAGCUUGUUGGUGGGGUAGUGGCUUACCAAGGCUUUGACGGGUAGCCGGCCUGAGAGGGUGACCGGCCACAUUGGGACUGAGAUACGGCCCAGACUCCUACGGGAGGCAGCAGUGGGGAAUAUUGCACAAUGGGCGGAAGCCUGAUGCAGCAACGCCGCGUGCGGGAUGACGGCCUUCGGGUUGUAAACCGCUUUCGCCUGUGACGAAGCGUGAGUGACGGUAAUGGGUAAAGAAGCACCGGCUAACUACGUG
rnacentral:rRNA from 1 species